GCUGAGACCAUCAGAAGAAUUGCCUCGCAACACUUAGAGACUUCCAGUUGAUGGCAUCACUUGGUACCAAGAACAGUGCGAGGAGGCUACUGGACAGAACUAGAGGCUACUAUCCUCCAGUGUCAGAUGAGGAGAGAGCAAUAGAAAAAAUAUCCUCAA